rnacentral:misc_RNA from 1 species
AGAGAAUCUACAUGGAUAGAGGAAAAAAAAAGAGAUAAUAGAGAGGUUAAUAUAGUUAUUUAAAAUUUUUCUCCCUCUUAAAACGAUUAAAAUUAGAAAGAUUCACAGUAAAAUGGAUGGAGGUAGACUCACAGUAAAAUGAAUAGAAGGACUUGCAUUUUUUAACCAAAACAGAAAAUAGGGACUAAAAUGUUUAAUUUUUAAAAUUUAAGGAUCAAAUAAUUAUUAGUAGUAAAACUCAAAGAUCAAAUUAUAAAUUUCUCAAUUUGUUAAGAGAAAAAGCAUGAAAAUAGAUAGGUUAAGGGAGAAAGAAUUAAAAGAUAAAAGAGUACAAAAACCGGAAAGAAUACUAAAUUUAAAAAUAAAUUUUGAUUGAGU